rnacentral:snoRNA from 1 species
CCCCUGGAGGAUGAUCAACUGAUCUCCCACAUUCUCGUGGGGCUUGACAUGGAGUACCAGCCGCUAGUCUCAACGUUGGAUGCUCGCACCAUCCCGGUCACGCUCGAUGAGCUCUUUGCUCAGCUGAGCAACUUCGACC